rnacentral:rRNA from 1 species
UAAGGAAUAUUGGUCAAUGGACGAAAGUCUGAACCAGCCAUGCCGCGUGGAGGAUGAAGGUCCUCUGGAUUGUAAACUUCUUUUAUCUGGGACGAAAACGGGCCUUUCCAGGCCAACUGACGGUACCAGAUGAAUAAGCACCGGCUAACUCCGUGCCAGCAGCCGCGGUAAUACGGAGGGUGCAAGCGUUAUCCGGAUUCACUGGGUUUAAAGGGUGCGUAGGUGGACAGGUAAGUCAGUGGUGAAAUCUUCCCGCUUAACGGGAAAACUGCCAUUGAUACUCUCUGUCUUGAAUAUUGUGGAGGUGAGCGGAAUAUGUCAUGUAGCGGUGAAAUGCUUAGAUAUGACAUAGAACACCAAUUGCGAAGGCAGCUCACUACGCAUAUAUUGACACUGAGGCACGAAAGCGUGGGGAUCAAACA